UACGGGGGGGGCAAGCGUUGUUCGGAGUUACUGGGCGUAAAGGGCUCGUAGGCGGCCAACUAAGUCAGACGUGAAAUCCCUCGGCUUAACCGGGGAACUGCGUCUGAUACUGGAUGGCUUGAGAUUGGGAGAGGGAUGCGGAAUUCCAGGUGUAGCGGUGAAAUGCGUAGAUAUUGGGAGGAACACCAGUGGCGAAGGCGGCUCACUGGACCGGUACUGACGCUGAGGCGCGAAAGCGUGGGGAGCAAACAGG
rnacentral:rRNA from 1 species